UGGGGAAUUUUGGACAAUGGGGGCAACCCUGAUCCAGCAAUGCCGCGUGAGUGAAGAAGGCCUUCGGGUUGUAAAGCUCUUUUGUCAGGGAAGAAAAGGCUGUGGCUAAUAUCCACGGCUGCUGACGGUACCUGAAGAAUAAGCACCGGCUAACUACGUGCCAGCAGCCGCGGUAAUACGUAGGGUGCAAGCGUUAAUCGGAAUUACUGGGCGUAAAGCGUGCGCAGGCGGUUUCGUAAGUCUGUCGUGAAAUCCCCGGGCUUAACCUGGGAAUGGCGAUGGAGACUGCGAGGCUAGAGUUUGGCAGAGGGGGUAGAAUUCCACGUGUAGCAGUGAAAUGCGUAGAGAUGUGGAGGAACACCGAUGGCGAAGGCAGCCCCCUGGGUCAAAACUGACGCUCAUGCACGAAAGCGUGGGGAGCAAACAG
rnacentral:rRNA from 1 species